rnacentral:rRNA from 1 species
UGGGGAAUUUUGGACAAUGGGCGAAAGCCUGAUCCAGCAAUGCCGCGUGUGUGAAGAAGGCCUUCGGGUUGUAAAGCACUUUUGUCCGGAAAGGAAAUCCUUGGCUCUAAUACAGUCGGGGGAUGACGGUACCGGAAGAAUAAGCACCGGCUAACUACGUGCCAGCAGCCGCGGUAAUACGUAGGGUGCAAGCGUUAAUCGGAAUUACUGGGCGUAAAGCGUGCGCAGGCGGUUUGCUAAGACCGAUGUGAAAUCCCCGGGCUCAACCUGGGAACUGCAUUGGUGACUGGCAGGCUAGAGUAUGGCAGAGGGGGGUAGAAUUCCACGUGUAGCAGUGAAAUGCGUAGAGAUGUGGAGGAAUACCGAUGGCGAAGGCAGCCCCCUGGGCCAAUACUGACGCUCAUGCACGAAAGCGUGGGGAGCAAACAGGAUUAGAUACCCUGGUAGUCCACGCCCUAAACGAUGUCAACUAGUUG